UCCGAGUUGUCCCCGGCAGUCCUCUUAGAGUCCCCGGCAUUACCCGCUGGCAACUAAGAGCAGGGGUUGCGCUCGUUGCGGCACUUAAGCCAACACCUCACGGCAUGAGCUGACGACAGCCAUGCACCACCUGCACACCAGCCACAAGGGAACCGACAUCUCUGCCGGCGUCUGGUGCAUGUCAAACCCAGGUAAGGUUCUUCGCGUUGCAUCGAAUUAAUCCACAUGCUCCGCCGCUUGUGCGGGCCCCCGUCAAUUCCUUUGAGUUUUAGCCUUGCGGCCGUACUCCCCAGGCGGAACACUUAACGCGUUGGCUUCGGCACAGGGGGAUUCGACUCCCCCCACACCUAGUGUUCAUCGUUUACGGCAUGGACUAC
rnacentral:misc_RNA from 1 species